rnacentral:lncRNA from 1 species
CUUACUAUUUUCCCCAGGUUUGGGCCUUAUCUCUUCAAUGGUUUGCUUUCAGGAACAGUUUGUAUUUUAAGGUUUCCUUCAUUUUGACCUAUAUGGGUAAAUGGAAAUGGAACUUGAAAUCAAACAGGGCUUGGUGCGUGCUGCUUAAAACUGCACACACUCAGUCAGUUCUAUGUGGGCACUCUGGUUUCUUCCUUGUGAAAGUUUCCCAAAGCUGAAGCAUGCAAAAACAUCUUUAUCUGAAAGUACUGUUGGAGACAACAGGGAAAUAUACAUGUACUGAAUUACCUCCAGAAAUUAUUUGGUCAGAUUUCUUUGAUACUGCUCAAGAAUCAUCUGUUAGCUUUCCCCACUAGGCUCCCUUAAUUUGGUACUUCUAUGAUAAAAGAUUCUCUAAACAGACUAGGGUUAGGUUUAUGGUUAGGGUAAGGGCUAGGUUUAAACCUAGUGUUAGAGUUAGAGUCAGUUUUG